rnacentral:rRNA from 1 species
UACAGAGGUGGCAAGCGUUGUUCGGAAUUACUGGGCGUAAAGGGCGCGUAGGCGGUCUUGUCAGUCCCUUGUGAAAUCCCCCGGCUCAACUGGGGAACUGCACGGGAAACAGCAGGGCUUGAGUUCGGGAGAGGGAAGCGGAAUUCCGGGUGUAGCGGUGAAAUGCGUAGAUAUCAGGAGGAACACCGGUGGCGAAGGCGGGUCUCUGGGCAGUAACUGACGCUGAGGAGCGAAAGCGUGGGGAGCGAACAGG